CCCCCCGCCUCCCAGUCCGCAUCUGGUGAGUGAUUGCAUAACCUGGAGAUGUUAUUUCCUGGAAUAGGAUCUCAUCCCCCUCUUGGAUCCAAGUUUCUGUAGUACACACUAGGUCAGCUACCUGAUCAUUAAGAAAAUCCCUAAUGGUAGCAGUUUUGUUCCUUAUGGACCUAGCGUUCACUAACACCAGAGUAGGAGGGGAGGACACUGGUUGCCUGUCACAGAUGUACCUGGGGAUAGGCCGCAGGUCAGAGGGGGGCUGAGUCUCCCGCCGACUCAACCUCCCUCUAGUAUUCGGCGUGUGCCUACCGUCGUACCUCCUCCUCCCAGAGAUCGUAGGAAUCCCCAUGCAUAGACCUACUUCUCUUGGAGGCUCUGCAGCACAGAUUAGGUGCCCAGUGUUCGACUGGCCAUCUGAAAAGGAGAUGGGGCAUGGCCAAUUAACAAGUAUCAUAAGUGGGGCCCACAGAGUGGUGAGGAGAAGACUCCAAAAUCUCCCCCUUUGGCAUCGAGGAUGCAUCCUGGCUCAUCUCGGCACUCUCAAAUGGCUCUCCAUUUAUCAGGGAAGCUCUUUGCAAAGUUAAGGGAGACUCCUUGGGAUAGUCCCAGUUUUGAUCCCCAGCUAGGUCUCUGGCAUUUUCAGGGUCCAAAGACUUGCAGGUGGUCCUCCCUUGUGUGUAAUCUAGGGGCUGAGCUGAUGGAUGAUUCAGUCGGCAAAGCAGCCUCCCAAACUGAUUAAGCCGAUCGGCUAGGUGGUUGUAUUCUGCAAGCAGCAGGCUCACCAGUCUUGGGUCCAGUCUUGCACCCUCUUGGCCAGGUCCCUGAUCGUCCAAACAAUUUAAGCUGUCUGGCCCCUUCGGAUUUUCUUCCUGGGGUUUGGAUGAAUCCAAAAUUGCAUUCAGAUCCAGGAACCCCACAGGGCUGUUUGUGGUUCCCUCAUGGAAAUCCAUGGAGAUGAAGUUGUAAUUUUUUUGAGCUCUCUCUGAUCUUGACUGAGAAAGGGAGUACUCUGACCGUGUUGUAAUAAACAGUGUAGAAGGGAGCGUUUUGACCUUGUUGUAAUGGCGGCCACACUCUAACCCUCUAAUCUUCCCCUCCCGCGAAUCUUACAAAGAGCAAUUAAACUCACUUGUAAAUCUUCUCUGGAGGACAGUUUGGCUCAGAUCUUUCUCACAGUGAGCAAUUUAGCUAAAUUGGCUAAGUUGUAAAUCUUUUCUCCGGAGCUCUGCAGAGUUGCUGCUACUCUGUCGCCAUCUUGAUAUUCCUGUGAGUAAUAGCAUGCUUUAUAAAUUUUGAAAGUAGUUAUUAUGGGGUAGCCAUUUCAUUUCCAAACUUGACUUUCAGAAGUCAAGAAUUCUAGGAAUCGUUAUCCAAAGAACUCACCUUUCCCAACUCUAUCCUUAAGUAAAGCUGAAAAAGUGGUUUAAAGAGCUGGGCAUGUUUAGCCAGCAGAUUUCAAGGAUGCCACCAUUAUCACCCUCUUCAAAAAAGGGGAAAGAACAGUCUGCGGAAACUAUCGAGGUAUCUCCCUUCUAACCUCAGCUGGGAAAAUCCUCACAAGAAUCCUUGCAAACCGCCUUCUGCCUCUCUCAGAAGACACCCUCCCAGAAUCCCAGAACGGCUUCCGCCCCUCCAGAGGAACUGUGGACAUGAUCUUCACUGCACGACAA